rnacentral:lncRNA from 1 species
AAAAAUUCACCAACCCAGGCCCCAUUUUUUCUUUUAGCCCACCAAUAUCAGCAGCCCAACUCAAAAGUAAACUCAAAAUCCAAUCCAAUAUAUUUGAACCAUCACCAAUCACGCAUUCAUCGGCUGAUCUGUGGGAACGGACGAUUACGAAGCACGGCAACUUUGAAUUUUUCUCUCAGCCUCUCAUUGUCUCACUCUCAUCUCUAUGAGCCCUCGAUAUGGUGUCGUCUGCGUCGCCUUCCUUCCAUCGAUACCAUCAGUGGAAGCCAAAUCCUAAUUUAUCUAAUCACGGUUACAUCAGUCUUAAAUUAUACAUCAAUGUCCUCUCUCAUCCUUAUUGGUUGCCCUGCUAUGGAGCUACUCAUUUUGUUUAUAUUUUUUUUCUUGUUCUUUUAAACUAUUUUAAGAUGGAGAAUCUGAUUUGGGGUGAGCUGCGGAGCCAAAGGGUUUUGUGCCUUCACUGUCGUAUGUUGGGUAGUGGGUGGUGGGAUUAUUUUCAGAUUUUGAUAGGAAUAGGAAAUCACGUUAUGGGAUUAUGAUUUAUUGCUCAAAUAUUGAAUGGGAUUGGAAUUAUAUUGAAUGGGAUUUAUUGCUAACAUAUUCUAAUUCCUUUUAAAUAUUGAAUGGGAAUCCAAAAUGGGAUUAUGAUUUAGGAUUAUAUUCAAUUUGUGCUUCUAACUCAAAAGCUAAAUAUAAAGAACUAUUUUGGUAAAUUUGAGUGUUUGCUUCUAAAUCUUCCCACGGUUUUAAGAAAUUUUGGGUGAGUGAAUGAAAAUUUCUAAUUUCCUUUUUGCUGGAACAAUAUGUAUAAUGCUUAGCUAUAUGUUCUAGUACAUAAAUUCCUCCUUUACUGCAACAAACAUAAAUUUUAUUGUUAGGCAUCAUCAGUAAACAACAAAAGAUAGGGACUGCUGCAAGUUAACAAUUACUUCAUUAAAUGGCCAUAAAUUGCAGCCCUGCAGGAGAUAGAUUCUUCCCUUCUUAAAAUACUUUUGAGGUCCGAUAAAUUUAUUUUUACCAUUCACAAAUUUGAUUGUGUAAACAUGGCUUGUUAGUUGUUGGCACGAGAAGUAGCUGCCCUUGCUCUAUUUGGGUCAGAUAUUAUGCUACAACUCAAGCUCCCUAAUGGCCUCCCAUUUCUUGCUUACUUUUGUAUUUAAGUUGGGAUGAGACUUUUCGUGAGUUUCGUUUCUUCAUUCUAGGCUCACAACUUGUGAAGAUAUCAAGUUCAUUUCUUUCUCCACUUAAAUGCCCCAUGGUAGGCACAUUCUACAGAAGUCCUGCUCCUGGUGUGAAGUCCAUAUUUCAUUUUCUAAACCUACUAAGUUGUGAAGGUUACAGGGUUUGCACGGUCAAAAUAAGUUGCAACUAGCUAACUUUUAGUAGGUCGGCUUUUGAUUGAUUUUUUUUUUUUUUUUCUUAAAGUAUUAUAUACUAGGUGUAGAAACUAAAGCCACCUAUACUAGUGCAAGUGGAGGAGGUAGUUAGUUUUCUCAAUAUAAAAAAUAUGCAAACACCACCUAUUCUUGUUGAAAUUGAUGUUUGGUAUUUUAUUUUGAUUAUUUCUUGUUCUUUAUCGCAAUUUUGCUAUUUUCUUUACUUCUUUUUUGAUUUUAGGCCUUUAAUCGCUUUUGUGGAGAGUUGUAUUUUGAAAGUGGGGAUCCAUUCUUUUCAGCAAGUUAUAAAACCCAUUAUAGAUUAUUCAAUUCGGAAGGGGAGUGCUGACGAUGCAUCUUCUGAUGAUAUGUAGCAUGUUGGUGAGGGUAGGGGAUGACAAGGAAAGGUGUAGGUGAAAAAAAGCAAGUUUUUAUUUUUUUUUAACAAGGCUAAGUUAGACAUUUUCUAGUUGGGACACCUUUUCAGGUCGGCUAGAGAACAAAGACCUAUUUAGUUUAUCUAAGUGAAAAAGUUUUCUUACCAUAGCAAUAUAAAUACUUAUGACUUCUUCAAUUUCUUUCCAGAUAAACAAUGAGAUUCAAUUGACAGUAAAAAAGUUGGUUUCCCAGAAUUGGUGAGGAAUUAAAUGAUGAUCUAGUUUAUACAGGGUGGGAAAUUAAAGGAAAUGAAGGUACUAACAUUAAAGUUGCUCUAGUCGAUAAUGUAACUGAGGAUCCUGUUGACUUUGGGCUUGAAUCCUCCAGGACGAAUGUGAAGAAUAUUUAUAGGGGAAUUCCUGUCUAGACCUACCCGAAUCCUAUCAUGAUAGUUUGAUUAAUUGAAGUAAUACCAGACAAUUUUGUGGUUAGGGACAUGGCAUAUGAAGUGCAUUGCACAUAUUAAGAAAUAUUAAACCUAUUAGAUGGAACUUGGAAGGAUAUAUAUAUGGCCACAAUUUUAUGAUUACGACGUAAAUGUCCCGGUACUCUAACUAUUGAAAAUGUGUAUGAUCCAUUGUUUUCAAAAGAGAAGAUGAAAUAUCUAAUUGGAUUUGAGGCCAGAGAUGAAGGCCUUAUUGUUCAUGGUGAUCGGAGAUGGGCUAAGUCAAGGUCAAAUUUCAGUAAUCAGAUUUAUUGUUAUUGUACGAAUAAAAGGACAUACUAAGAGAGAUUGCUACACAUUGUAGAACAAAGUUAAUUUGACUAAAAAUCAUGGGAAGCAAGUAAAUACUUUAGACGAAAUCAAUAUAGUCGAGAACUAUUUGAAUGAUGGAGAUGUUUUGAUGAUUUUUGACAUGACAAGAAGUGGAUUUUAGAUACAGUUUGUACGUUCAUAUGUGUCCAAUCGGGAUUUGUUUAAAACAUAUAAAAUGAUGAUGCAAGAUAUCGUUGUCAUGGGCAACAACGAACGUUGUCGAAUAGUUGGUAUUUGUGGAAUCAGAUUGAAACGGUGGAUGGAACAUGUAGAAUCCUUGAUCACAUUUGAUAUAUUCCAGACUUAAAGAAGAAUCUCAUUUUGUUAAAUACUCUUGAUUCAAAAGUUAUACAUUCUCUAGAAGAGGUAGAGUCUUGAAGGCUUGGAAGGGUGUUCAUGUUGUAUUGAAGGGACAAAAGACAUCCUAGUUAUAUAUCUUACAAGGUCGGGCAGAAUUUAUGAAGAAAAGUCAGAAUAGAUUUAGUACCACAAUGGAGAUUCUGUUUGAUACUAUGCUUUUAGGAUUUGGUUUGGAAUCCAUAUUGAAGAAUACUACUCAAUUGAGUUUGUAAAAUAUGGUAAUUUUGCUUUGCUACCAUUAUGUGCAGUUCCAUCAUAUGCAACUGCUAGGAAUAGACCGAUUGGAAAUAGGUACAUGGACGUUAAUUUGGUUUCACAUGCUUUUAUCAUUUUUGAAGAUGUUGAGACCAACUAGAGGGCCUUUUAUGAAAGUAUUAGGAGCUGAUUUUGCUACAGGAUCUGUUUCGACACUGUUUGGUAAUUUUUAAUUCUUUGUGAAUUUUUGGAGACCUGGUAUUGGGUUCAUAUAUGCGUGUUGGAUACUAUGGAAAAGGAGGAGUAUUUUUGUGUUGGAGAAAGUUUGGUUGUUAUUGAAGAGUUCAGAUUUUUCAUUGUAGAGCUUCGCUCGUUGUAUCAGAAUUUGUGUCAAUAUGAAGAUUGUUGGAUUUUUUUACCCAAAUUAGGUUGGAUUUUCAAGAAAAAUAUUUUUUUCCUUCUUUCCAUGUGUUUUUAUUUGUAAAAUACUGUUUCCUUUAUUCCUCGUGAUAUUUCUACCUUGUUUUCAUUUUUGUAAUAUUUAUAGGGUUUGUUAUGCACCUAAAUAAAUACUAAACUUUUUUCAUAAAUUUUGUGCUACUAAGAUAUAGAUAAUUUUUUAGGCACAUUUAUUGUAUUUGUUUCUCCAUAUUAGUCAAUUGAUUAAAAUACUAUGUUCCUCUGCCAAUUAAUUUUUUGCCUUUAAUCUUGUUGUUUGUUUGAAAUCAUAUACUUCAUAUCGUGUCAUAUAAAUUACCUCGAUCCGUUUUAUUUCCCAACACUAAUUUUAUUGGAUUCUUCAUUGAGUUGUUAAUAAUUUCAACUACUCUUAUUCGUAGGAAAGAGCAAGAUGCUACGAAAGGGAAUGAGGAGAGUUAGUUCUCUUGUACAGAGGUUCUUUGGGAUCAAGGUAGAUGUUUUUGUUUAUGUGUCAAACAAACGUUCGAUGGGCUAUGAUGUAAAUCGAUUGGGAGUUCAAAUAUAUUUCAAAACUUAAUUGAAGUAAAUUGACUCAAAAAUUCCACGAAGACUAGUUCAAUUAAUUUGGUUUAAAGGAUAUUAAAUUUGCUAUUUUCAAGGUGUAACAUUUUUCACUAAGGGUCUGUUUGAUUGUAAGAAUGAAAUUUUGGUGGAAAGAAAAUGAAUUCUAGGGACUAAGAAUUUUCAAUUAAAUGUGUUUGAUAUGUAUAAUUUUUGAUUUGGAAAAUGUUGAAAUAUUCUAUCUUUUGGUGUUCGUUGGGUUUUGUUUUUCUUGGAAAUUGUAAUUAAAGGAAUAGAAUUUGUUAUAAUUAUGAAUAAAAUUUGUUCCAAUUGUCCCCAAAAAAAGAAAAAAGAACAAAAAGGGAC